GGUUAAGCGACUAAGCGUACACGGUGGAUGCCCUGGCAGUCAGAGGCGAUGAAGGACGUGCUAAUCUGCGAAAAGCGUCGGUAAGGUGAUAUGAACCGUUAUAAC
rnacentral:rRNA from 1 species